rnacentral:rRNA from 1 species
CCUAGGGUAAGGCUCAUGACUGGGGCUAAGUCGUAACAAGGUAGCUGUACCGGAAGGUGCGGCUGGAUCACCUCCUUUCUAAGGAG